rnacentral:rRNA from 1 species
CACGCCGUAAACGAUGAAUACUAGGUGUCGGGCGUCAAAACUCGGUGCCGCAGCUAACGCAUUAAGUAUUCCGCCUGGGGAGUACGCACGCAAGUGUGAAACUCAAAGGAAUUGACGGGG